rnacentral:rRNA from 1 species
CAGCACCUCAAGUGGUCAGGAUGAUUAUUGGGCCUAAAGCAUCCGUAGCCGGCGCUGUAAGUUUUCGGUUAAAUCUGUACGCUCAACGUACAGGCUGCCGGGAAUACUGCAGCGCUAGGGAGUGGGAGAGGUAGACGGUACUCGGUAGGAAGGGGUAAAAUCCUUUGAUCUAUUGAUGACCACCUGUGGCGAAGGCGGUUUACCAGAACACGUCCGACGGUGAGGGAUGAAAGCUGGGGGAGCAAACCGGAUUAGAUACCCGAGUAGUCC